rnacentral:rRNA from 1 species
CCUACGGGGGGCAGCAGUGAGGAAUAUUGGUCAAUGGCCGGAAGGCUGAACCAGCCAAGUCGCGUGAGGGACGACUGCCCUAUGGGUUGUAAACCUCUUUUAUAAGGGAAGAAUAAAUGCUACGUGUAGCAUGAUGCCUGUACCUUAUGAAUAAGCAUCGGCUAACUCCGUGCCAGCAGCCGCGGUAAUACGGAGGAUGCGAGCGUUAUCCGGAUUUAUUGGGUUUAAAGGGUGCGUAGGCGGUUUUUUAAGUUAGUGGUUAAACGUCGGGGCUUCACCUUGAUUUGCCAUUAAUACUGUAAGAC